rnacentral:rRNA from 1 species
UACAGGGGGGGCAAGCGUUGUUCGGAAUUACUGGGCGUAAAGGGCUCGUAGGUGGCCAACUAAGUCAGACGUGAAAUCCCUCAGCUUAACUGGGGAACUGCGUCUGAUACUGGAUGGCUUGAGUUUGGGAGAGGGAUGCGGAAUUCCAGGUGUAGCGGUGAAAUGCGUAGAUAUCGGGAGGAACACCAGUGGCGAAGGCGGCUUCCUGGCCUGUUCUUGACGCUGAGGCGCGAAAGCUAGGGGAGCAAACGGG